rnacentral:lncRNA from 1 species
UACUAUUAUUUAUUAAUAGUGGCAGCGUGGAACCAAGGUCUACAGUGGCUGCUGAGGUCAGACUUGAAGAAAUGACUCACAUGCAAGGCUGAUCUACAUAAGUAGCCUGUGCUAAGACUGCCAUCUGGUAGAACAAUCUACAUCACACGACUCCACGUUUCCUGUUACCCAAGCACAGUGAACCUCUAUCUGCACACAGCUUAUGAGCCAGAUGCAUGGGUCUUACUCCAUUAACUGGAACUAUGGUGCUCAGUGCUGAGAGAGUUCAUCGCAAGCCGAAGCUAUUGGACUUGCCACAGAGGGAAGCAGCAGCUGACAGUCACUGGCACAUCCCUCCAGCACCGACUGUGUUACCUAGCCAUCUGGAGCUCAAGAUUAAGGCAGGUUUGAUGAGAGAGCUGUGACCUGUGGACCUCCUGAGAAAAUGACAAUGAGGGGGUACCUGAUAUACACUUCAGGACAUAAUAACCUGUGGCUGGCGAAAAACUCUCCCAAAUUGCAUAUAAUUUACAAUGUGUGUAAUUUAAGUAAAUAGGUACUUCUCAAAAAAUUUUUUUUCUGUUCAUGGUACUCUCAUGUUGUAAAAACAAAACAAAACAAAACAAAACAAACAAACAAAAACAAAAACAAAGCUCG